rnacentral:rRNA from 1 species
UACGUAGGGGGCAAGCGUUGUCCGGAAUUAUUGGGCGUAAAGAGCGUGUAGGCGGUCCGGUAAGUCGGCUGUGAAAGUCCAGGGCUCAACCCUGGGAUGCCGGUCGAUACUGCCGGACUAGAGUUCGGAAGAGGCGAGUGGAAUUCCCGGUGUAGCGGUGAAAUGCGUAGAUAUCUGGAGGAACACCGGUGGCGAAGGCGGCGUUCUGGACUGUUUCUGACACUGAAAAACGAAAGCCAGGGGAGCAAACGGG